rnacentral:rRNA from 1 species
GACGAACGCUGGCGGCGUGCUUAACACAUGCCAGUCGAACGGAAAGGCCCUGCUUUUGUGGGGUGCUCGAGUGGCGAACGGGUGAGUAACACGUGAGUAACCUGCCCUUGACUUUGGGAUAACUUCAGGAAACUGGGGCUAAUACCGGAUAGGAGCUCCUGCUGCAUGGUGGGGGUUGGAACGUUUCGGCGGUUGGGGAUGGACUCGCGGCUUAUCAGCUUGUUGGUGGGGUAGUGGCUUACCAAGGCUUUGACGGGUAGCCGGCCUGAGAGGGUGACCGGCCACAUUGGGACUGAGAUACGGCCCAGACUCCUACGGGAGGCAGCAGUGGGGAAUAUUGCACAAUGGGCGGAAGCCUGAUGCAGCAACGCCGCGUGCGGGAUGACGGCCUUCGGGUUGUAAACCGCUUUCGCCUGUGACGAAGCGUGAGUGACGGUAAUGGGUAAAGAAGCACCGGCUAACUACGUG